rnacentral:rRNA from 1 species
GAUGAACGCUGGCGGCGUGCCUAAUACAUGCAAGUCGAGCGAACGGACGAGAAGCUUGCUUCUCUGAUGUUAGCGGCGGACGGGUGAGUAACACCUGGAUAACCUACCUAUAAGGCUGGGAUAACUUCGGGAAACCGGAGCUAAUACCGGAUAAUAUUUUGAACCGCAUGGUUCAAAAGUGAAAGACGGUCUUUCUGUCACUUAUAGAUGGAUCCGCGCUGCAUUAGCUAGUUGGUAAGGUAACGGCUUACCAAGGCAACGAUGCAUAGCCGACCUGAGAGGGUGAUCGGCCACACUGGAACUGAGACACGGUCCAGACUCCUACGGGAGGCAGCAGUAGGGAAUCUUCCGCAAUGGGCGAAAGCCUGACGGAGCAACGCCGCGUGAGUGAUGAAGGUCUUCGGAUCGUAAAACUCUGUUAUUAGGGAAGAACAUAUGUGUAAGUAACUGUGCACAUCUUGACGGUACCUAAUCAGAAAGCCACGGCUAACUACGUG